AUCCAGCUGACGAGUUCUAAAUAGGACGAAGCCCUCGUCUUAGAU
rfam:Schistosoma curassoni strain Dakar, Senegal genome assembly, scaffold: SCTD_scaffold0002418